rnacentral:piRNA from 1 species
UGAGGUAGACACAGAAAGCCAGGCAGU